CAUAGACAGAGUAGCACCUUUCAUGUAUCUAUAAUUCUCCCAUCAACCUACUGUGCCCUACUUGAGCAAAGUUAGUAGUAAAUACGGCAAUAGAGAAGAGUGAAUUAGGGCCCUGGCAUCUUUUAAAGCAGUAAUAUCUUUUGGCUUUUCUUAUAGACUGGACCACUGAUGGAAGAACUGAGAGGGAAGAGCCAUUUUUGAUGCUCCUGGGAGAUUCUGACAGGCAUCAUCUGAUCAGUAGGCUGGCUCAGGACACCCCCUUCACGAAGGCCCAGUGACCACCUCAGUCCUGACUGCUGUAAACCAGACUGAUAAAUGUGGUAAUCACCUGUUGGUGACUCACCUCCAGUGGCUCUGGGUUAAGGAAACCAAACGGACCACAAGUUACACUGGCCUUUUCUGAACCUUGGAGUCAGCGCUUUGCCCACAGGGUGCCUGUUUCUCACUGGGAAAGCUCAUCUGUCUAGAAAACACCCUUCUGGUUUGACUUGAAGAUAAAGGCAAAAGGAAGAGGAAAGCAGGUGGUUCUGAAGCAGCAGAUACUCAAGAAUGAAUCACUGAAGGGGGGACCAGGAAAGCGGCAGGAAGUCUGGAGGGCCCUGGCUCUCAGGAGAAACAUUAAUAUAUGCCCCUCUGAGCAAGUUCAUUGGGAUAAAAACCCC
rnacentral:lncRNA from 1 species